rnacentral:rRNA from 1 species
CCGCAACGAGCGCAACCCUUAUCCUUUGUUGCCAGCGGUCCGGCCGGGAACUCAAAGGAGACUGCCAGUGAUAAACUGGAGGAAGGUGGGGAUGACGUCAAGUCAUCAUGGCCCUUACGACCAGGGCUACACACGUGCUACAAUGGCGCAUACAAAGAGAAGCGACCUCGCGAGAGUAAGCGGACCUCAUAAAGUGCGUCGUAGUCCGGAUUGGAGUCUGCAACUCGACUCCAUGAAGUCGGAAUCGCUAGUAAUCGUGGAUCAGAAUGCCACGGUGAAUACGUUCCCGGGCCUUGUACACACCGCCCGUCACACCAUGGGAGUGGGUUGCAAAAGAAGUAGGUAGCUUAACCUUCGGGGGGGCGCUUACCACUUUGUGAUUCAUGACUGGGGUGAAGUCGUAACAAGGUAACCGUAGGGGAACCUGCGGUUGGAUCACCUCCUUACCUUAAAGAAGC